UGGUACGGUGGCCCCAUGGCAGCUCAACU
rnacentral:piRNA from 1 species